UCCAGUUCAUUCCCAUCUGAUGGGCCAUGUGGCACAUCAGUCAGAGAGUCCAGGGAGGUGUUGAGGAGAAUUAGAAAACAAGGUUUUUUCUUCACCAUAAUUGCAAUCAAUAAUUGAUAAACCAACUAAAUGAGUAUAAAUGAUGUGCAAAAAACAAUGUAAGAAAAACAAUCACUGCUACAUUGGGACACAUUCCCACACCUGAAGGACCAUUUUGACAUUUGGUCAUGAACUAUGUUGACAUGUUGUGCAUUCAUGCCAAGGUUUGAAAUUCAAUCAGAGAUAAGUUCAGACAAUGGGCCAGCGUAUAUUCAGCAAACACUGUUUCAAGCACCAAAUAGAACUGGUUAGAUGCAAUUAUUAUCUUUAUAACUUUUUACACACACACACACACACACACACACACACACACACACACACACACACACACACACACACACACACACACACACACACACACACACACAUACACACACACACACA